rnacentral:rRNA from 1 species
GACGAACGCUGGCGGCGUGCUUAACACAUGCAAGUCGAACGGAAAGGCCCUGCUGGUGUGGGGUGCUCGGGUGGCGAACGGGUGAGUAACACGUGAGUAACCUGCCCUUGACUUUUGGAUAACUUCAGGAAACUGUGGCAAAUACCGGAUAGGAGCUCCUGGUGCAUGGGGGGGGUUGGAAAGUUUCGGCGGUUGGGGAUGGCCUCGCGGCUUAUCAGCUUGUUGGUGGGGUAGUGGCUUACCAAGGCUUGGACGGGUAGCCGGCCUGAGAGGGUGCCCGGCCACAUUGGGACUGAGAUACGGCCCAGACUCCUACGGGAGGCAGCAGUGGGGAAUAUUGAAAAAUGGGCGGAAGCCUGAUGCAGAAACGCCGCGUGCGGGAUGACGGCCUUCGGGUUGUAACCCGCUUUAGCAUGUGACGAAGCGGGAGUGACGGUACUGGGUAAAGAAGCACCGGCUAACUACGUG